ACGGGGUGUAGUGAUGGAGGCCGCGGGAGGAGCAGGCUAUGGGUCGGGGGACAGUGGGGACACGGAGAACAAGGGUGUAGGGACGCGUGAUGGGGAGACACUAGGAGCUUGGGGAACGUGAGGGGAAGGAUGCGGGCAGCCUGGGCUUGCAGUUGGAGUAAGCCUCCUGCCAAGAAUGCGGCCAGGAGGAAUGGGGCUCAGACAACGUGGGAAGAAGAAAAAGGAAGUUUGGGGGAGAGACAUAGUGGGGCUGGCUGCUUCGGGGAGACGGGAACAUGCAGCACCGGCGGACUCCAUGAGCAUGGGCCCACUGAUGCAGUUUACCUGCCGUGAGGGAGACACCAGAGACCUCGCGCGCUCUCCACGCACACCCCAAGGAAAGCCCGUGUGCACACGGAGGUGGCAGCCACCUGCAGCCAGGAAGAGGGUCUCACCAGAUGCUGACCACACUGGCUCCCUGAUCUUGGACUUCUAGCCUCCAGGGCUGCAAGGAAACAAAUGUUUGUUUAUGAACAAAUUGGACUUACGAACGUGCUCUCGGAACGGGACUCUUUCGUGUGGAGCAGACUUACUGUAUGGGUUUGAAGGAUGAAGACGAUAGAGGUAAAAGACCCUUUUCAUCACACCGUGUCCAGGGUACAUAGUAUCAACGUAAUUUAUGGCUGUUGACGCUGGCUGUGAUCACCUGGCCGAGGUGUGCUUGUCAGGCUUCUCUGCUGUAAAAUUACUCCCCCUCCCCCUUCCAUCGUGUGCUUUCGGGGAGGAGGUCCCUAUGCACAGCCUGCACUUAAGGGUGGGGGGAGUCCAGCUCUCCCCGCUGUGGGGUGGAGUGUUCACAGAACUUAUCUGGAAUUCUCAGCAUGGGAGAUUUGCCUCUUCUCCAUUUAUGAAUUUGUUCCAUCAUGUAUGUCAGUGUGAUCACAUGGAUACGUAUUUUAUGCUUUGGGUUAUGGUACAAUAUUACUUUGUUGAUUUUGUUUCUCAAGUUAUUCCAGCUCUGGCUGCUGGGAACUCUGUCAGUUGGCUCCUGUGUCCCUUUGACUCACCCCAUCUUCGUGUUUUUUGUUUUGUUUUUUUUGAGCACCUCCUUACCUUCCGGCUACAAGAUGCUCCAGGCUCAUCCUGUAUAUUUCUAGUUCCAGUCCUAGGGUCAGCCAUUUCUUCAAGGAAUUCUGGUUCCUUCCUUUUGUUAGAGAAUGGUCUUAGAAACCCAGAUCUGGGAGAUAGAUGUGUUCAUUGCUGCUGCGGUCUUGUUUCUUUGUGCCCCCUCAGCAGACAAAGCAAAGAAAUAUACGUGCGUGCCAACCUUGCAUACACACACGUUACAAAUAUUCCUGUGUGUAACCACCUGUCUCUACAUUAAACGAACGUGAGUUCUCACUGACGUCUCCAACCAGCAUCUGUUAUCCACGGAUCAUUCUCCCCUUGGUCGCCUGUAACCUCCCACUCCUCCGGGGUGAGAAUCCCGGCCCCCACCAUCCGUGUACUUUCCUGUUCAGUCCCAGCGCACGUGUACAGCAGGGACACAUGGGAAACAACUUCACCACGAGAGCCCAGUGCUGUGUGCACACCCUUUGGCUUCAGGCCUACAGAGCCCACUCGUUUCCAGAGUGACUGAGGUCAGCACCUUUCAUCCGGCCCCUCUGUGAGGGGGCUUCACACACUGUAAGGCAGGUACAUUCUCCUGUCACAGUCUGCAUUCCUUCCUGGGGUUAUUUGUUUUCUUAUCACUGAGUUUUAAGAGUUCCUUGUUUAUUUUGGACACAAUCCUAUAUUGAAUAUAUAUUUUGGAAAUAUUUUCUCCUAAUCUAUGGCUUGUCUUUUCAUUGUCUUUACAGUAUAUUUAGCAGAGCAGAAUUUAAAAAUUUUAAUAAAGUCCAACUAAUCAAUUUUUUUCUUUCAGGGGCUGUGCUUAUGUUGUUGUAGCUAAAAAAUCAUCACCAAAUCCAAGCUCACCUAGAUUUUCUCUUAUGUUAUCUUCUAGAAGAUUUAUAGUUUUGGUCUAUGAUAAAUUUUUAGUUAAUUCUUGUGAAAAGUGUAGGAUCUGUGUCUAGAGUCAUUUUUUGGCCUAUAGAUGUCCGCUUGUUCCAGGAAGUUUGUUGAGAAGCCUAUCUCUCUCCGUCAUAUUGCCUUUGCUCAUUUGUCAAAGAUCUGUUGACUGUAUUUGUAUGGAUCUAUUUCCGGACUCUAUUCUGUUCCAUUGAUCUAUUUAUCUCGUCUUUUGCCAAAACCAGGCUGUCUCAAUUACUGCAGCUUUGUAAUAAGUCACAUAGCAUCACUCCUCCAACUUUGUCAUUCCUUUCAGCAUGAUGUUGGCUAGUCUGGAUUUUUGCCUUUUCCUAUAAUCUUUAGAAUCAGUUUGUCAAUAUCAACAAAAUAACUUGCUGGGAUUUUGACUGGGAUUGCAUUGAAUCUAUAGGUCAAGUUGGGAAGAAAUGACAUCUUAACAAUACUGAGUUCCUAUCAGUGAACAUGGAAUAUCUCUUCCUUAUUUAGAUCUUUGAUUUCAUUCAUCAAAGUUUUGUAGUUUUCCUUAUGUGGAUCCUGUACAUAUUUUUUUCUUUUAGAUUUAUACCUAAGUAUUUAAUUUUCUAGGGUGCUAAUGUAAAUGGUACUGUGCUUUGAAUGUCAAAUUUCCAUUGUUCAAUGUAAAAUAGAUAGCUAGUGGGAAGCAGUCGCAUAGCACAGGGAGAUCAGCUCGGUGUUUU